CAUAGUAGACAGGAGUGUGUUCAUUGAUUGAUUUGCCUUUCAUUUGCAAGACUAGAAUUCUGGCUAACAUUGCAGCUUUCCAUUUCAGAUCACAUUUCAGAAAAUCCCUAUCAGUUGGCAAUGUCACAUGUGAAGUCAACAAAGAUGAAUCUAAUACUGAUGUAAGGACAAGAAGAAAUGUGAUCUCAGAGCUGCUUUCAUAUAUGGAUCUAGAUGAGACUGACAUGCCAUAUUCUAGACCAUUGUUAAAAAGAUUCCUAUCAGAUAGCAGCAUCCAACAUGAAGUCCACACAUAUGCAUCUGUUUGUGAUGCUACAACAAGCAAUCAUGUGAUCUCAGAACUGCCUUCAACCAUGCCCCUCAAUGGUAGUGAUUUAUCAUCUUCCAGGGAGAUGCGUUUGAUGGGUAGAUUUGCCAAUCUUGGACAAUAUUUUGCUAACUUAGAAGAAUGGCUUGCUUGGGUAGGGACACUCUGUUCUAGAUGACCAGAUACUCAAUUUGCUCUGCAGAGGAAAAGGCACUGGUAUUGAUGUCAAUAAGCCCCAACUCCAUUGGAGCAUGUACAUAUGUUGACAAAAACUGUUGCAUGAAUUAGUACUAGUAUUGAACAUGAAAUUUCUAUGGCAGUAAGCUCCUGUGAUAUACUAUCUUAAAGUAGAUUGUUGAUAUGUGCCAACAUGAAAUAAAAAGUCUUGCUGUGACAGAUGAUUUCCUUCUCUGCAAUGGGUUUUAGUA